UUUCUCCGGGCACUCCGGCUCUCUCUACCAAUAAAAACGGGCGCCACGAAAUAGCCGAAAUGUGGCGCUUAAAAGUGACAUUAAAACACCAACAAUUUUUUUUUUCUCAUUUUGAAACUACGUUGUUUUAACUUCAAGUCAGAUGGCGGAUUUUUUUUUUUUUUUUGGGGGAGGGGGGGGCGAAUAGGUUGUUCAUCUUUAAAUUGGACAACGUAACAUUUUUAGUCUCGCUACAACAGAUGAUAUUUUUUAAUUUUAUAGAGUACAUGUAAUACCCCUUUCGGAAUCCAGGAAACGCCCUUAAAGGUAAGAAUAGAUUUGAACUGUGCAGUA
rnacentral:lncRNA from 1 species